rfam:Chaetura pelagica isolate M959 contig50917, whole genome shotgun sequence.
AAAAAGGCUCUUUUUAGAGCCGCCCACAAAAUCUUAAAGGGUUGAG